AAAAAAAAAAAAAAAAAAAGAUCAGACCAUAACUAAGAGUAACUUAAUAAUUUUGUAAAUGUCCCAACAUGCCUUGAAUCUCAUGCUAUGACUUGGAUAAGUACAUUUCUGUGUAGUUCCUUUGUCAUUGACAGUUUGGUGGGCAUGCUCGUAAUUCAACUUUUGAAGAUGUAAUGCAUAACUUUUACCUUUUUUAUUAUUAUUAUUAUGGACAGUCCAACAACGGAUGCCAUGGAAAUAGAAGACCCUCCUGCAGACGAAGCCACCACG
rnacentral:misc_RNA from 1 species